CGGAUAUCUUGUGGAGACUGAAACAACUCAUAGUGUGUGUUGUAAGACUUGUUUCUUCUCUCAAUGUUUAAUGAGAUUGGAGCUUUUACAGCAGCACUACAUUU